rnacentral:sRNA from 1 species
UACUAGUCCUAAUAGUAGUGAAAAUCCUUGUUCUUUAUUUUUUAAUAGAGAACAAGAUUGUAGAAUAUAGCGGGAUAUGAG